GGUCAGGAUGAACGCUAGCACAGCUAACACAUGCAAGUCGAGGGGCAGCAUGUUGGUGCUUGCAACCGAUGAUGGCGACCGGCGCACGGGUGAGUAACGCGUAUCCAACCCUCCCUAUAGUAGAGGAUAGCCCGGCGAAAGUCGGAUUAAUACUCUAUGUUGUUCAAUGCAGACAUCUAAGUUGAAUCAAAGGUUCACCGCUAUAGGAUGGGGGAUGCGUCUGAUUAGGUAGUCGGCGGGGUAACGGCCCACCGAGCCAUCGAUCAGUAGGGGUUCUGAGAGGAAGGUCCCCCACAUUGGAACUGAGACACGGUCCAAACUCCUACGGGAGGCAGCAGUGAGGAAUAUUGGUCAAUGGGCGAGAGCCUGAACCAGCCAAGUAGCCGUGCAGGAUGACCGGCCCUAUGGGUUGUAAACUGCUUUUAUACAGGGAUAAAGUCGGGGACGUGUCCCCGUUUGUAGGUACUGUAUGAAUAAGGACCGGCUAAUUCCGUGCCAGCAGCCGC
rnacentral:rRNA from 1 species